CGGAGGGUGCAAGCGUUAUCCGGAUUCACUGGGUUUAAAGGGUGUGUAGGCGGGCUGUUAAGUCAGUGGUGAAAUCUCAAGGCUCAACCUUGAAACUGCCAUUGAUACUAUCAGUCUUGAAUCUUGUUGAGGUGGGCGGAAUAUAUCAUGUAGCGGUGAAGUGCUUAGAUAUGAUAUAGAACACCGAUUGCGAAGGCAGCUCACUAAGCAAGUAUUGACGCUGAGGCACGAAAGCGUGGGGAUCAAACAGGAUUAGAUACCCUGGUAGUCCACGCCCUAAACGAUGAUUACUCGACAUACGUGAUACACUAUGUGUGUCUGAGCGAAAGCAUUAAGUAAUCCACCUGGGAAGUACGUCCGCAAGGAUG
rnacentral:rRNA from 1 species